GGCGAGUGAGUGAGUGAGUGAGAGAAGAUAGAGAGGCAACUGCGGCCUGAGGAGACGUGACAGUGGAGCAGCUUGAACCUCUAUCUUUCGGCGUUAUUACCAUCAACACUCCAAAGUUGCAACAAAAACAAAAGAUUGAGGACAGACAGAUGGAGAGACAAGGGGAGGAUCUGAGGAUGUUUUUUCCACUCCAUCCUCGUGGCCCCGGUGCGUUAAAUGUCAAAGAGCAGUCAGCGGGAGAGACUGAUUCCAGGAGGCGAUGUGAAUGGGACGAUUGAAGACCCGCUUUGAUUGACAGCUCUUUCUCUCCCGCUCUGCCCUGAGGGUGAUUGACAAUGUGGUUCAUCUCACAUUUUGUGACUGAGCUAAUCCAGAAAAUUCCUACCAGACGCGGCGCAACUCAGCAGAGACCUGCCACUCCUUUCCCAGGUGGAGUUUUCAUCUCAUCCCAAAAUAAAUAUGUUUUUGCAUCUGUGCCGCGGAAAACAAACCGGGGGGUAGGGGGGACCACGACUAUAAUUAAGUGAAGGUACAUAAUUAAAGGAGUUUGGAAAAGU